rnacentral:rRNA from 1 species
GAACGCUGGCGGCGUGGAUUAGGCAUGCAAGUCGAACGAGAAAGCACCCUUCGGGGUGUGAGUACAGUGGCGGACGGGUGAGUAACGCGUGGGAAACCUGCCUUUGAGUGGGGGAUAACAGUUCUAACGGACUGCUAAUACCGCAUGACGCUGUUGAUCGCAUGUUCAACAGUUAAAGAUGGCCUCUACGUGUAAGCUGUCGCUUAAAGAUGGUCCCGCGUCCUAUUAGCUUGUUGGUGGGGUAACGGCUCACCAAGGCAACGAUGGGUAGCCGGCCUGAGAGGGUGGUCGGCCACACUGGGACUGAGAUACGGCCCAGACUCCUACGGGAGGCAGCAGUCGAGAGGCUUCGGCAAUGGGGGCAACCCUGACCGAGCGACGUCGCGUGGGUGAUGAAGAUUCUUGGAUCGUAAAACCCUGUCAGGUGGGAUGAAAUGCCAUUUGGUCAAUAGCCAAGUGGUUUGACAGUACCACCAGAGGAAGCUCCGGCCAACUCCGUG